CUUUGCCUACGGGAGGCAGCAGUCGGGAAUAUUGCGCAAUGGAGGAAACUCUGACGCAGUGACGCCGCGUGCAGGAAGAAGGUUUUCGGAUUGUAAACUGCUUUAGACAGGGAAGAAACAAGACAGUACCUGUAGAAUAAGCUCCGGCUAACUACGUGCCAGCAGCCGCGGUAAUACGUAGGGAGCAAGCGUUAUCCGGAUUUAUUGGGUUUAAAGGGUGCGCAGGCGGCGUGUCAAGUCAGCGGUAAAAUGUCGGGGCUCAACCCCGGCCGGCCGUUGAAACUGGCGUGCUCGAGCUGGAGAGA
rnacentral:rRNA from 1 species